rnacentral:rRNA from 1 species
UACGAAGGGUGCAAACGUUGCUCGGAAUUAUUGGGCGUAAAGCGCACGUAGGCGGCUUUGCAAGUCGGAUGUGAAAUCCCUCGGCUUAACCAAGGAAGUGCAUCCGAAACUGCAGAGCUUGAGUACUUAAGAGGAUCGCGGAAUUCCCGGUGUAGAGGUGAAAUUCGUAGAUAUCAGGAGGAACACCAACGGCGAAGGCAGCACUCUGGGCCGGUACUGACGCUGAGGUGCGAAAGCGUGGGGAGCAAACAGG